GCACAUGCCAGAUAAAAGGUGAAGAUGGUUCAGAAAAAAAAAAAAAAAAAAAAAAAAAGUUCACCCAGGGCGAGGCUCGUCCAUUGCACUUCGGCCAUGCUGACCCCUGUGAAUUCCCCAAAUGUGGGAACCAUGACUGCAUGGUAGUGGGGGACUGCGUUCGCGGUCUCCCCUG
ensembl:snRNA U1 U1 spliceosomal RNA